GCCGCAGUAGCUCAGACGGUUAGAGCGUUACAUUGGUAAUGUAAAGGUCCCGGGUUCAACUCCCGGCUGUGGCU
rnacentral:tRNA from 1 species